rnacentral:rRNA from 1 species
GCCUGAUCAGCCAUGCCGCGUGUGUGAAGAAGGCCUUUUGGUUGUAAAGCACUUUAAGCGAGGAGGAGGCUACUGAGAUUAAUACUCUUGGAUAGUGGACGUUACUCGCAGAAUAAGCACCGGCUAACUCUGUGCCAGCAGCCGCGGUAAUACAGAGGGUGCGAGCGUUAAUCGGAUUUACUGGGCGUAAAGCGUGCGUAGGCGGCUUUUUAAGUCGGAUGUGAAAUCCCUGAGCUUAACUUAGGAAUUGCAUUCGAUACUGGGAAGCUAGAGUAUGGGAGAGGAUGGUAGAAUUCCAGGUGUAGCGGUGAAAUGCGUAGAGAUCUGGAGGAAUACCGAUGGCGAAGGCAGCCAUCUGGCCUAAUACUGACGCUGAGGUACGAAAGCAUGGGGAGCAAACAGGAUUAGAUACCCUGGUAGUCCAUGCCGUAAACGAUGUCUACUAGCCGUUGGGGCCUUUGAGGCUUUAGUGGCGCAGCUAACGCGAUAAGUAGACCGCCUGGGGAGUACGGUCGCAAGACUAAAACUCAAAUGAAUUGACGGGGGCCCGCACAAGCGGUGGAGCAUGUGGUUUAAUUCGAUGCAACGCGAAGAACCUUACCUGGUCUUGACAUAGUAAGAACUUUCCAGAGAUGGAUUGGUGCCUUCGGGAACUUACAUACAGGUGCUGCAUGGCUGUCGUCAGCUCGUGUCGUGAGAUGUUGGGUUAAGUCCCGCAACGAGCGCAACCCUUUUCCUUAUUUGCCAGCGGGUUAAGCCGGGAACUUUAAGGAUACUGCCAGUGACAAACUGGAGGAAGGCGGGGACGACGUCAAGUCAUCAUGGCCCUUACGACCAGGGCUACACACGUGCUACAAUGGUCGGUACAAAGGGUUGCUACCUAGCGAUAGGAUGCUAAUCUCAAAAAGCCGAUCGUAGUCCGGAUUGGAGUCUGCAACUCGACUCCAUGAAGUCGGAAUCGCUAGUAAUCGCGGAUCAGAAUGCCGCGGUGAAUACGUUCCCGGGGCCUUGUACACACCGCCCGUCACACCAUGGGAAUUUGUUGCACCAGAAGUAGGUAGUCUAACCGCAAGGAGGACGCUUACCACGGGGCCGAUGACUGGGUGAGCGUAAAAA